rnacentral:lncRNA from 1 species
CGCGCACCCACCGAGCCCGCGCUCAGACGCCCCAGCUCCGCCGAGAGGCCGCUCGCGACAGGUCCUUCCUCUUCCCCAAGUGCAGGCAGAGCCCCCGGAGCCACUGCCAGCCCUUCCCGCAGCUCCGAAACCACUGGCAAGCCCCGAGGCAGGGAUGGCCCUCCCAGGAGGGAGGAGGACGACGUCCCUCCCGAGGAGAAGAGGCUGCGGCUGUUGCUGGAGGGGGGAAGCGCACAGCCCGGCGACUGCGAGGACGGGGAGGACGCGCCGCGGCCGGGCAGGGAGGAGACCGGCACCCAGACAGGUGGCGACGGCAGAGGAGCACAGUGGCUCACACUUGUAAUCCCAGCACUUUGGCAGGUCGAGGCUGGAAGAUCACCUAAGGUCAGGAGUUCGAGACCAGCCUGGCCAACAUGGCGAAACUGUCUCUACUAAAAAUACAGAAAUUAGCCAGGUGUGAUGGCACACACCUCUAAUCCCAGCUACUUGGGAGGCUGCGGCAGGAGAAUCGUUUCAAACUGGGAGAGAGAGGUUGCAGUCAGCUGAGAUCGCACCACUGCACUUCAGCCAGCCUGGG